rnacentral:rRNA from 1 species
GACAGAGGUGCCAAGCGUUAGGCGGAAUCACUGGGCUUAAAGCGUGUGUAGGUGGAUUUGUAAGUACCUUGUGAAAUCCCAUGGCUCAACCAUGGAACUGCUCGGUAUACUGCGAAUCUUGAGCCACUUAGGGGCUACCGGAACAAAUGGUGGAGCGGUGAAAUGCGUAGAUAUCAUUUGGAACGCCAAUGGUGAAAACAGGUAGCUGGGAGUGUGCUGACACUGAGACACGAAAGCGUGGGGAGCAAACAGG